rnacentral:rRNA from 1 species
UACGUAGGUGGCAAGCGUUGUCCGGAUUUACUGGGCGUAAAGAGCGCGCAGGCGGUCGGUCAAGUCGGGUGUGAAAGCCCCCGGCUCAACUGGGGAGGGUCACGCGAUACUGAUCGACUCGAAGGCAGGAGAGGGUAGUGGAAUUCCCGGUGUAGUGGUGAAAUGCGUAGAUAUCGGGAGGAACAUCAGUGGCGAAGGCGGCCUUCUGGUCCAGUACUGACACUCAAGUGCGAAAGCGUGGGGAGCAAACAGG